rnacentral:rRNA from 1 species
GUGAGGAAUAUUGGUCAAUGGGCGCGAGCCUGAACCAGCCAAGUAGCGUGGGGGAAGACUGCCCUAUGGGUUGUAAACCCCUUUUGCGCGGGGAUAAACCGGCGGACGUGUCCGUCGCUGCAGGUACCGCGCGAAUAAGGACCGGCUAAUUCCGUGCCAGCAGCCGCGGUAAUACGGAAGGUCCGGGCGUUAUCCGGAUUUAUUGGGUUUAAAGGGAGCGUAGGCGGGAGAUUAAGCGUGCUGUGAAAUCCGGCGGCUCAACCGUCGCGAGCAGCGCGAACUGGUUUCCUUGAGUGCGCGGGAGGCAGGCGGAAUUCGUGGUGUAGCGGUGAAAUGCUUAGAUAUCACGAAGAACCCCGAUUGCGAAGGCAGCCUGCCGUAGCGUUACUGACGCUGAAGCUCGAAGGUGCGGGUAUCGAACAGG